rnacentral:rRNA from 1 species
UACGAAGGGGGCUAGCGUUGUUCGGAAUUACUGGGCGUAAAGCGCGCGCAGGUGGCUUAUCAAGUCAGGGGUGAAAGCCCGGAGCUCAACUCCGGAAUUGCCUUUGAAACUGAUGAGCUCGAGUACGGGAGAGGUGAGUGGAAUUCCCAGUGUAGAGGUGAAAUUCGUAGAUAUUGGGAAGAACACCGGUGGCGAAGGCGGCUCACUGGCCCGUUACUGACACUCAUGCGCGACAGCGUGGGGAU